rnacentral:rRNA from 1 species
AUACGGAGGAUCCGAGCGUUAUCCGGAUUUAUUGGGUUUAAAGGGUGCGUAGGUGGUUUGAUAAGUCAGCGGUGAAAGUUUGCAGCUUAACUGUAAAAAUGCCGUUGAAACUGUCGGACUUGAGUGUAAAUGAGGUAGGCGGAAUGCGCGGUGUAGCGGUGAAAUGCAUAGAUAUCACGCAGAACUCCGAUUGCGAAGGCAGCUUACUAAGCUACAACUGACACUGAAGCACGAAAGCGUGGGGAUCAAACAGGAUUAGAUACCCUGGUAGUCCACGCAGUAAACGAUGAUUACUAGCUGUUUGCGAUACACAGUAAGCGGCACAGCGAAAGCGUUAAGUAAUCCACCUGGGGAGUACGCCGGCAACGGUGAAACUUAAAGGAAUUGACGGGG